rnacentral:lncRNA from 1 species
AGUGCCAAAAUUUAUGUUUAUGAUAAAAGAAGUUUUUCUUUUAAUAUAUCUCUUUAUUUCUACUUCAUUUAUUUCUUUCACACACAUUAAUAUAUGAUAUUUAUAGGUGUGGAAGAGAAGAAGUUUUUCUGUACUUGAAACUCCUCUACACCAUUUAUUCUUGCAUGAGGAUUCAUUUCUCCGUAUGAGAAGGUAGAGCAUCAAGAGUUGGCACCCCUUGGGAGACUCAUGCACCUUUUCAUUUUCUAUUUAUAGGAGAUAUCUUUUAUAGAUUUUGGAGUAGAUAUCCUGGCAUUUGGAUGUGAGAUAAGUGACAAUUAAGCAAAAAAAAUUCUAAAAAAAUUAAGAAAAAGAAGAGAAGAAAAAAUAGAAAGAGAGAAGAAGAG